UAGGGAAUCUUCCACAAUGGACGCAAGUCUGAUGGAGCAACGCCACGUGAGUGAAGAAGGUUUUCGGACCGUAAAGCUCUGUUGUUGGUGAAGAAGGAUAGAGGUAGUAACUGGCCUUUAUUUGACGGUAAUCAACCAGAAAGUCACGGCUAACUACGUGCCAGCAGCCGCGGUAAUACGUAGGCGGCAAGCGUUGUCCGGAUUUAUUGGGCGUAAAGCGAGCGCAGGCGGAAGAAUAAGUCUGAUGUGAAAGCCCUCGGCUUAACCGAGGAAUUGCAUCGGAAACUGUUUUUCUUGAGUGCAGAAGAGGAGAGUAGAACUCCAUGUGUAGCGGUGGAAUGCGUAGAUAUAUGGAAGAAUACCAGUGGCGAAGGCGGCUCUCUGGUCUGCAACUGACGCUGAGGCUCGAAAGCAUGGGUAGCGAACAGGAUUAGAUACCCUGGUAGUCCAUGCCGUAAACGAUGAGUGCUAAGUGUUGGGAGGCUUCCGCCUCUCAGUGCUGCAGCUAACGCAUUAAGCACUCCGCCUGGGGGAGUACGACCGCAAGGUUGAAACUCAAAGUGAAUUGAC
rnacentral:rRNA from 1 species